rnacentral:rRNA from 1 species
GUCGAGAAUCUUUCACAAUGGGGGCAACCCUGAUGGAGCGACGCCGCGUGGAGGAUAAGGUCUUCGGAUUGUAAACUCCUGUCAUGCGUGAACAAGGUUGCUUGGUUAAUACCUGGGCAAAUUGAUGGUAACACAAGAGGAAGAGACGGCUAACUCUGUGCCAGCAGCCGCGGUAAUACAGAGGUCUCAAGCGUUGUUCGGAAUCACUGGGCGUAAAGGGUGCGUAGGUGGCGUGGUAAGUCAGAUGUGAAAGCCCGGGGCUCAACCUCGGAACUGCAUCCGAUACUGCCAUGCUAGAGUACUGGAGAGGUGACUAGAAUUCUCGGUGUAGCAGUGAAAUGCGUAGAUAUCGAGAGGAAUACCAAAGGCGUAGGCAGGUCACUGGACAGUUACUGACACUGAGGCACGAAGGCCAGGGGAGCAAAAGGGAUUAGAUACCCGAGUAGUCC